UCAUUUGCCUGGCUUUCUUUUCCUUUCUAUAGGAGGGGAAGUAUACAUAGCAGUUGCUUCACAAAGUGUCCUGUUAAAUGUUUCAUUGCUGUGAAGAUUCACCAUGACCGCGGCAACUCUUAAAAAAGAAAACACACUACAUGGCACCCAGGACCCUAGUGCGGCCUGCAGGGCAGCAGGGCUGCUGCGGAGCUUGCUACCAGACUCCUCCAGGCCAUCUGCUUGCUCGGUCUUCCCUCCCGCCCUUCCCCCACUUAGAGGACCUUGCCGCUCCCAGCCUUGGUUUUGCCCAUCCCGCCAAUUUUCUUCCCUCCAAGUCCAUGCCUCCUUAGGGCAGAGGUCUAAAACUCCCGCCCAUCUCUGCCUUCUGAGACAGAACACCACCUUCCAAAAACCUCUCUCAACCUCUCUUGGGGCCCCACCCUAGCUCCUCUUCUAGAAAAGAAGCAAACCUGCCUCAUCUACCUCGGUUCCGCCCCUAGAUAGGCCCCGCCCAUCCGUUGCUCAUCGCCACGCCCCUAGACGGGCCCCUGCCCCCACUAUCCAAUGCACUCGCUAGCUCGCUAGGCUCCGCCUUUUGGACCCGCCCACGACCGGCUCCUCCUAGACCCGCCCCCUGUGCUUCUCCAGCUCCUCCUGGCUCAGCCCCACCUAGACCCCACCCCGCUUCUUCUUUGUUCCCACUGGGAGCGGCUCCUUUUCGGGGAAAUGAGGAUUUCUUUCAGCUUGGCGGGUCUGAAGUCCAGUUCUCGCUGGUUCCGGGACGCCCGGGCAUGCUCGGUGUAAGAGGUGUGUGAGGGCGCUGGGCCAGGCCUUCCUUUGUUCCCGACAACAUUCACUAGAAUGCCCAGCCCUCCUACCUGUGGAGUCCGGAUUAUGCAGCAAGGAAACUGAUCGCCUUGUGACCCCUGGCCUGGGCCACCUGCUUCUUGCUGCAGGUGGGAGCAGAGAAUUCUGUCCCGGUAGGAUCUCACUGUGUAGCCCUGGCUGGAACUUACUAUAUGUCGGCCAGGCUGGUCUUGAUAUCACAGAGAUCAGAUCUGCCUGACUCUGCUGCCACCCUCCACCCGCCAAGUGCUGGGAUUAAAGGCAUUCACCACUGCUGGGCAAACACUGAAGAUGCUCAUCUGUUAUUCUGGUUGAGCAGCGUUACCUCACCCUUCUGGUAACAGAAUCGCCGACUUUCUCAAGGGGAUUGUCUUUCUCCACUCAACCCACACUUCCAGCAGCUCCCGGGCAGAUGACUCGGGCCAAAGCAGUCAGAGUGUGUCGGCCCCUUGGCAACAGGGCCUGGCUCUUCCGGGGAGUGGCGCACCAGGAUAGACCAAUGAAAGCCAGCCCUGGACUUGAGUGGCCAGAGACCUCCGUGAGGAUGGCCGCUUACAGAUCUGUCCAGAAGAAUUGAGUUGUCAGUGAAGGGGAGGAGUUAUACGCCAGUAACAGAGGGACACUCCCAUCACACUGGAGGAAAGACAGUACAGGGAGUGGAAGGGAGGAGAUGCCGCGCCAUGGAGGCCUUCGGAUUUUAUAGUGAGAAGCUAUUGGAAUGUUUUGAGCAGAGGAGGGGUAGAGGCCUGGAGAUCCCCAGUUCAAAGCAAGUCUAGACUACUUAAGUGAGUUCCAGGCUGCCCAACACAAUUAGCAGUGAACUGGUGGCAAAAGAAAAACAAACAGCAAAAGAAAUGCAAACCAGAGAAAGUACCCAAGGAGCUAAAGGGAUCUGCAACCCUAUAGGUGGAACAAUACUAUGAACUAACCAGUACCCCUGAGCUCUUGACUCUAGCUGCACAUGUAUCAAAAGAUGGCCUAGUCAGCCAUCACUGGAAAGAGAGGCCCAUUGGACUUGCAAACUUUAUAUGCCCCAGUACAGGGGAAUGCCAGGGCCAAAAAGUGGGAGUGGGUGGGUAGGGGAUUGGGGGGGGAGCGUAUGGGGGACUUUUGGGAUAGCAUUGGAAAUGUAAAUGAGGAAAAUACCUAAUUAAAAAAAAAAAAAAGAAA